GACGGGGCCCGCACAAGCGGUGGAUUAUGUGGAUUAAUUCGAUGCAACGCGAAAACCUUACCUACCCUUGACAUGUACGGAAUCCUUUAGAGAUAGAGGAGUGCUCGAAAGAGAGCCGUAACACAGGUGCUGCAUGGCUGUCGUCAGCUCGUGUUGUGAAAUGUUGGGUUAAGUCCCGCAACGAGCGCAACCCUUAUCCUUUGUUGCCAGCGGUCCGGCCGGGAACUCAAAGGAGACUGCCAGUGAUAAACUGGAGGAAGGUGGGAUGACGUCAAGUCAUCAUGGCCCUUACGACCAGGGCUACACACGUGCUACAAUGGCGCAUACAAAGAGAAGCGACCUCGCGAGAGCAAGCGGACCUCAUAAAGUGCGUCGUAGUCCGGAUUGGAGUCUGCAACUCGACUCCAUGAAGUCGGAAUCGCUAGUAAUCGUGGAUCAGAAUGCCACGGUGAGUACGUUCCCGGGCCUU
rnacentral:rRNA from 1 species